rnacentral:rRNA from 1 species
AGCGAACGCUGGCGGCAGGCCUAACACAUGCAAGUCGAACGAACUCUUCGGAGUUAGUGGCGGACGGGUGAGUAACACGUGGGAACGUGCCUUUUGGUUCGGAAUAACUCAGGGAAACUUGUGCUAAUACCGAAUGUGCCCUUCGGGGGAAAGAUUUAUCGCCAUUAGAGCGGCCCGCGUCUGAUUAGCUAGUUGGUGAGGUAACGGCUCACCAAGGCGACGAUCAGUAGCUGGUCUGAGAGGAUGACCAGCCACACUGGGACUGAGAUACGGCCCAGACUCCUACGGGAGGCAGCAGUGGGGAAUCUUGCGCAAUGGGCGAAAGCCUGACGCAGCCAUGCCGCGUGAAUGAUGAAGGUCUUAGGAUUGUAAAAUUCUUUCACCGGGGACGAUAAUGACGGUACCCGGAGAAGAAGCCCCGGCUAACUUCGUG